GGGCGUUUGGCGCAGCGGGAGCGCGCUUCCUUCACACGGAAGAGGUCACUGGUUCAAUCCCAGUAACGCCCACCA
rnacentral:tRNA from 1 species